AGCGAACGCUGGCGGUAGGCCUAACACAUGCAAGUCGAACGAACCUUUCGGGGUUAGUGGCGGACGGGUGUGUAACACGUGGGAACGUGCCUUUAGGUUCGGAAUAACUCAGGGAAACUUGUGCUAAUACCGAAUGUGCCCUUCGGGGGAAAGAUUUAUCGCCUUUAGAGCGGCCCGCGUCUGAUUAGCUAGUUGGUUGAGGUAAUGGCUCACCAAGGCGACGAUCAGUAGCUGGUCUGAGAGGAUGAUCAGCCACAUUGGGACUGAGACACGGCCCAAACUCCUACGGGAGGCAGCAGUGGGGAAUCUUGCGCAAUGGGCGAAAGCCUGACGCAGCCAUGCCGCGUGAAUGAUGAAGGUCUUAGGAUUGUAAAGUUCUUUCACCGGGGACGAUAAUGACGGUACCCGGAGAAGAAGCCCCGGCUAACUUCGUG
rnacentral:rRNA from 1 species